GGGUUUGUUUCUCGCUCGCUCUUGCGCUUUCCGUGUGCGUCUUGCUGGCGCGCGCCCUCUUCGCUGAAGGACGCCGUGGAAAAGGAGUGAGGGCGGCGCCAACGGGAAAUCGCAGCGGCGUUUUCACGCACACACACACACACACACACACACACACACAGCUCUCAAUCACAGCAGCCACAGGAGAACGGAUUCGAAGGAGGAGAGGUGAUAGCACACCCACCCAGCCCCGUGCCCUCGCUGCUGGUGGCUUCCCCCAAACCCUCAUCUCCACCGCUAAUACAUACGAGUCCAUUUCCGUCUGAAAGCGAUCUCAGCAGACUUGCUCUUCCCCAUCGGAGUUUGCUUCUUUGUGUUGUUCGUCGCCCCCCUGGACGUGCUCUUCGAGUCACCUGUGUUGUGGCUUUUUUUUUGUGUGUGCGGUCGGCAUCGUCUUGUUGGUGGGAACCCAGUACACGCCACCCUGUGCGUUUUUUCUAUCUGUGUGUGUGUGCGUUCUGUUUCUACCCCCCUCCCCCUUCUCACCCAGUGAAACGCACACACACGCAUACACGCACGCGGCAUCCUACGACUCACUGAGUACGUCUCUCUCUUCCUUUCCUUCCCCUUUCCUCUUUUCCAAUCUUCUCAUCCUCUUUGUGUUUUCUGUUGUCGUUGCUCUCUUCCUUGAUUGCACACACACACACACACACACACACACACACACAUCCGUAUACAUACAG
rnacentral:misc_RNA from 1 species